rnacentral:rRNA from 1 species
UGGGGAAUUUUGGACAAUGGGCGCAAGCCUGAUCCAGCCAUGCCGCGUGUGGGAAGAAGGCCUUCGGGUUGUAAACCACUUUUGUCAGGGAAGAAACGGCUCUUACUAAUAUUAGGCGCUAAUGACGGUACCUGAAGAAUAAGCACCGGCUAACUACGUGCCAGCAGCCGCGGUAAUACGUAGGGUGCAAGCGUUAAUCGGAAUUACUGGGCGUAAAGCGUGCGCAGGCGGUUAUGCAAGACAGAGGUGAAAUCCCCGGGCUCAACCUGGGAACUGCCUUUGUGACUGCAUAGCUAGAGUACGGUAGGGGGGGAUGGAAUUCCGCGUGUAGCAGUGAAAUGCGUAGAUAUGCGGAAGAACACCGAUGGCGAAGGCAAUCCCCUGGACCUGUACUGACGCUCAUGCACGAAAGCGUGGGGAGCAAACA